GACACGGUGGCCUAAUGGUUAGCGCGUUUGACUCUGGAUUGAGCGGUCCGGGUUCAAGCACUGUCCGGGAUCACUGUGUUG